rnacentral:rRNA from 2 species
UGGGGAAUAUUGGGCAAUGGGGGGAACCCUGACCCAGCAACGCCGCGUGAAGGAAGACGGCCCUAUGGGUUGUAAACUUCUUUUGUAAGGGAAUAAAGUGCAGUACGUGUACUGUUUUGCAUGUACCUUACGAAUAAGGAUCGGCUAACUCCGUGCCAGCAGCCGCGGUAAUACGGAGGAUCCGAGCGUUAUCCGGAUUUAUUGGGUUUAAAGGGUGCGCAGGCGGGAGAUUAAGUCGGCGGUGAAAUUUUGCAGCUCAACUGUAAAAGUGCCUUCGAAACUGGUUUCCUUGAGUGUAGAUGAAGUAGGCGGAAUUUGUGGUGUAGCGGUGAAAUGCAUAGAUAUCACGAGGAACUCCGAUUGCGAAGGCAGCUUACUAAGCUACUACUGACGCUCAGGCACGAAGGCGUGGGGAUCAAACAGG